rnacentral:ncRNA from 1 species
UAAUGCAAAGAUAAAAACACAGUUCCGGUUGGUAGUCCGGACGCAGUGAAAGCUGUCAGUAACCUGCCUCCUUGGUUGUCCGUUCUUUGUAAGGCAUUU